AUGCCCAUAAAAGCGCAUGUCCCCGUCUCGGUAGCCACUGGACACCUGCAUCUGCCAACAAGACCGGAAGCAGGUCAGCGCAUGGACGUCUUCCCAGAAAGUGACAAAGACGGCGAAGUUUGACAGUCUGGAAAGCGGAGACCAGACGGGCUGACUACCUGAGAGCACCGCGACUCCGGACAGCGCCUCUCGGGGUCCGGGAUGGGACCCGCGAUCUGCUUCAGCACCGGGGCUGCGGACAGCUCCUGGCGGAGGCCCGGGGCCCCUCCGACAUCGUUUCAGCACCCGGACAGCGGACAGCUCCCCGAGAUAAUAAGCAGGCGCGAUGAAACCGCACGUAGAAAUCUGUAAUUCCCAGCAGGUGAGAUGUCCAGUCGGUAGGAGUGUGGGUGAACGGGCGCCUGCCAAGAUGACACUGUUGUGCUCUUUCCAGACUUCCGUGAGAAGCAUUGUGCCAAGCGUUUUGCAUAGAUUCUAUCAUGCCAUCUGCAAUCCUAGGACACGGGUGUUACGAUGCCCAGGUGACAGUUGAGAAAACUGAGACCCAGAGAGGGGCAGGGAAUUAUUAGCCCAAGGGCUCUCAGCCCAACAGUGAAGCUGCAAGUCAAUCCCACAUGCAGCCACUCCGAAUUCCGUGUUUCUGACAUGCCUGGGGGGGGGGGGUGGAGUUGGGGCCUUGGAGAUCAGACCCUGCCUCUCUCCAAGAGGACCAGGAAUGGAAAACAGGAGGCGGUGGAGAAGCAAGAAGCCCGGGUGUUCCGGCUUGGCUCAGUUCCAGGGGCCAAUUACAGGACAGGUGUCCACUCGUGCCUGGUAGUUGUGGCAUCAUCAACGCCCACCCCAAAUUCUCUGUGACAUCCUAAUGAAGUCAGAGACACCACGUCAAGCUCGUUGCAGCCUCAGAGUCCUUGCCUUUGCUGUUCCCUCAGCUUGGAAUGCUCUGCUCCCCAAGCACCCCAAGGCUCCCUCCGCCUUCUUAUCCAAGCCUCAGGUCACCAAGAGAAUCUUGUCUCCCACCCCCCCCCCCAUAGCAAGUCUAUAUUAUACAUUCUCAUAGACACGGGAAAUCUCUCUGGCACCUAGUCCAAUUCUUUUGUCUUAUCUGUUUACAGGGCUGUCUGUCUCCCCCCACUACACUGUGAGCCCCUUGAGGACAGAGACUGUGUUUGUAUUUUCCCAGCACUCAUGCAUGGCCUUGCACACAGCAGGUGCUCAAUAAAUGUUUGUUGAAUCAGUAAAGGCAUCAGAGGAUAAAACAACGUAUCAGUCAAUAAAGGAAUUUAUGGUUUCAGUAUGCA